AACGCUGGCGGCGUGCCUAAUACAUGCAAGUCGAGCGGACAGAUGGGAGCUUGCUCCCUGAUGUUAGCGGCGGACGGGUGAGUAACACGUGGGUAACCUGCCUGUAAGACUGGGAUAACUCCGGGAAACCGGGGCUAAUACCGGAUGCUUGUUUGAACCGCAUGGUUCAAACAUAAAAGGUGGCUUCGGCUACCACUUACAGAUGGACCCGCGGCGCAUUAGCUAGUUGGUGAGGUAAUGGCUCACCAAGGCGACGAUGCGUAGCCGACCUGAGAGGGUGAUCGGCCACACUGGGACUGAGACACGGCCCAGACUCCUACGGGAGGCAGCAGUAGGGAAUCUUCCGCAAUGGACGAAAGUCUGACGGAGCAACGCCGCGUGAGUGAUGAAGGUUUUCGGAUCGUAAAGCUCUGUUGUUAGGGAAGAACAAGUACCGUUCGAAUAGGGCGGUACCUUGACGGUACCUAACCAGAAAGCCACGGCUAACUACGUGCCAGCAGCCGCGGUAAUACGUAGGUGGCAAGCGUUGUCCGGAAUUAUUGGGCGUAAAGGGCUCGCAGGCGGUUUCUUAAGUCUGAUGUGAAAGCCCCCGGCUCAACCGGGGAGGGUCAUUGGAAACUGGGGAACUUGAGUGCAGAAGAGGAGAGUGGAAUUCCACGUGUAGCGGUGAAAUGCGUAGAGAUGUGGAGGAACACCAGUGGCGAAGGCGACUCUCUGGUCUGUAACUGACGCUGAGGAGCGAAAGCGUGGGGAGCGAACAGGAUUAGAUACCCUGGUAGUCCACGCCGUAAACGAUGAGUGCUAAGUGUUAGGGGGUUUCCGCCCCUUAGUGCUGCAGCUAACGCAUUAAGCACUCCGCCUGGGGAGUACGGUCGCAAGACUGAAACUCAAAGGAAUUGACGGGGGCCCGCACAAGCGGUGGAGCAUGUGGUUUAAUUCGAAGCAACGCGAAGAACCUUACCAGGUCUUGACAUCCUCUGACAAUCCUAGAGAUAGGACGUCCCCUUCGGGGGCAGAGUGACAGGUGGUGCAUGGUUGUCGUCAGCUCGUGUCGUGAGAUGUUGGGUUAAGUCCCGCAACGAGCGCAACCCUUGAUCUUAGUUGCCAGCAUUCAGUUGGGCACUCUAAGGUGACUGCCGGUGACAAACCGGAGGAAGGUGGGGAUGACGUCAAAUCAUCAUGCCCCUUAUGACCUGGGCUACACACGUGCUACAAUGGACAGAACAAAGGGCAGCGAAACCGCGAGGUUAAGCCAAUCCCACAAAUCUGUUCUCAGUUCGGAUCGCAGUCUGCAACUCGACUGCGUGAAGCUGGAAUCGCUAGUAAUC
rnacentral:rRNA from 1 species